AUGGAGCGGCCGGGGGAGCAACGGGAGCUGCCCAGGCUGCCGGCUGGAGGGGGCCCGGCGGCGGGAGCCGCCACCGGCCUGGCGGCCGUGCUUAUCUUCACCAUCGUGGUGGACGUGCUGGGCAACGCGCUGGUCAUCCUGUCUGUGCUGCGGAACAAGAAGCUCCGCAACGCCGGCAACAUCUUUGUUGUCAGCUUGUCCGUUGCAGACCUUGUGGUUGCAGUUUAUCCGUACCCUCUGAUCUUAAGUGCCAUCUUCCACAAUGGAUGGACCAUGGGAAACGUCCACUGCCAGAUAAGUGGGUUCCUGAUGGGCUUGAGUGUCAUCGGGUCCAUUUUCAACAUCACGGCGAUCGCGAUCAACCGCUACUGCUACAUCUGCCACAGCCUUCGGUACGACAAGCUCUUCAACCUGAAGAACACCUGCUGCUAUCUCUGCCUCACCUGGGUGCUCACAGUGGUGGCAAUUGUGCCAAACUUCUUUGUUGGCUCCCUGCAGUAUGACCCCCGGAUUUACUCCUGCACCUUUGCCCAGACGGUGAGCACGUCGUACACCAUCACGGUGGUGGUGGUUCACUUCAUCGUCCCGCUCUCCGUCGUGACGUUUUGCUACCUACGGAUCUGGAUCUUGGUGAUUCAAGUCAAACACCGGGUGAGACAAGACUGCAAGCAGAAACUCAGGGCGGCUGACAUCCGAAACUUCUUGACUAUGUUUGUGGUUUUUGUCCUUUUUGCUGUGUGCUGGGGACCAUUAAACUUUAUUGGCCUUGCUGUUUCAAUUAAUCCUUCAAAAGUGCAGCCACACAUUCCAGAAUGGCUUUUUGUCCUGAGCUAUUUUAUGGCCUAUUUUAACAGCUGCCUCAAUGCUGUGAUCUAUGGGCUUCUUAACCAGAAUUUUCGGAAGGAAUACAAAAGGAUAUUGCUGACACUGUGGACUCCCAGGCUGCUGUUCAUUGAUGUGUCCAAGGGCGGGACAGAAGGGAUGAAAAGCAAGCAUUCUCCAGCCAUAACAACCAACAACAACCACGCUGAAAUACACCUAUGAGUCAGGACUACUAUUUAUUCUGGAUUACAGUUGUAUAUAUAAUAUAUAAGAGCCUUUCUAGCUGUGUGCAUUGCACAGCUGGUGUUGCCCUCAUGCAAGGAAGGAGUCUGCAACCUUUCAUGCUUAGCUUAUUGCUGUGACAUCAAGGCUUUGAAUAAGAAUUUUCAGAAGGGAAAUAACUGAUCUUUUUUUUUUUUAAUGUCAUCUUUCACUGUGUGCCUAAUUAAUCGGUUUGGUUGCUUUUGCCACAAGCAUGCCAAUACCCGAAAAGGGAAGCGUUCAGAGUGCAUGGAGAAAUGCAGUUAUGCUUGAAAUGCAACCUUCAAGAGGCAGCAAAAUUGCCAUUUAUUACCCACAAACCUUUCUCCCCUCCCUCUGAAUUCUAUUUUUCUAUCAUUAACUUAACCUGAACUGUAUCAAACAAAGUGUAAACUGCAUGGCUUUUUACAUUAUAGAUAAGUAACCAUAUUAGCCAGCAGGUGUAUGUAUGGGCAUGGUGUGUGUUUUCCUUUUUCCUUUCUUUUAAGGUUUAGGAGCUAGCCUGGGCUAGAUGUGAGGCAGGCAGAAGCCAGACCACUGUGUGUCUGAUGCACUCAUUUUAAUUGAGUAUCUACAGACAUUAAGUACCCUUGCACUCUCCUUCCCAGGCCAUGAGUAAGUAUAUGACAUAUGACAUAAUCUAAUUGUAGUAAGAUACUUGGAGCCUGAUUCUAAUUUAGGCAGUAUCCUAUCAUGGCCAGCAGUCAUUCCAAACAUCUUUCAAUAGUCACUGCUACAUGAACAUCACAAUAAAAAAGAUGAACAUAGCAGAGUCCCAUCUGUGUAACACAGAUUGCGACUUUUAAGUUCCAGUAACAUUUACACUUGCAGACAAAGGCAGAAGGGGAAGACAGUGUUGUUACAAAAAUCCCUCUUUUUGCCCAUCACAGAACAUGAAUUUGCUGAUGGGAGAAAAAGUGGAGGUUGUUUUCCCAUUUUAUUCACAUACAGAACUGUAAUUAACUCACAGAGUGGGGAGACGAAAGCUGCUUAAGCAUAAUUAUGCAUCAGUUCUGUUUAAGCCUGGACUCUGCUAUCUGUAUCAUUGGAAACAAUGUCAUGAAGUUCUGGGGAGGCCAGUAUCACAUUAGACAUAAGCACAUGGGCAAAGAUAGGGCUGUUUCUUUAAUGGAGUGUGAAAGGGGUGUGUGUGUGUGAUGGCAGCUGUCUGUAGAUAGGACUUCUUUGUUUCCUUAGCUUCAUUGUGAAUUCAUCUCUUUAUGGCUUUAAAUGUGGAUCCUGCUUUGAAACAAUCCCAUAAAAUGAACAUGUAAGACUCCCCUGGUGCAACUCUACCUUGAGGUUAGCACCCCUGCUGGUGUGCUGAGGGGCACAGCAGGGAGAGGGGCUGGUCUGAGCCCUGGGGGUCUAACGAGGACAGCAGGCAGCCCUGCCCCUGGUCAAGGACUGCAGUCUUCUCUCUUUGGUUCUAGUCAGGACUAGUUCCCAGCACUGAGCCUGAAAGACCAAGACCAGACUUCGGAGGCUCCUGGACACAGAGGCUCCAAAGUUAACAGCCAGCAAGUAUUUGAAACAAACCAAGUCCAAAGAAGUCCUGAACAGGCAAGCUGAGAGAGUCCCUUCUCCACCUGGCAGGAAUGGGAGCAGCAGGAGCACGAUAGGGCAUCUCCCCAGGGCUCACGGAGUCACCACUCAACCAAACUAUGCAAAAUGAUCUGCUCCUCUUCUGCCACAGGCUCUGAGCCCAGCUGCUGCCCAGGUCUCUGCAGGGGACAGGCGAAG